rnacentral:rRNA from 1 species
UACGAAGGGGGCUAGCGUUGUUCGGAUUUACUGGGCGUAAAGCGCACGUAGGCGGAUCUUUAAAUCAGAGGUGAAAUCCCAAGGCUCAACCUUGGAACUGCCUUUGAUACUGGGGAUCUUGAGUCCGGGAGAGGUGAGUGGAACUGCGAGUGUAGAGGUGAAAUUCGUAGAUAUUCGCAAGAACACCAGUGGCGAAGGCGGCUCACUGGCCCGGUACUGACGCUGAGGUGCGAAAGCGUGGGGAGCAAACAGG